UUUUUAGAAAAAUAUGAAAAAUUACAUUCCAGGAAUUUUUAGACAAAUCGAGUUGCAACUCUGUAAGGUUUCCUUUCGCUUCUGCGAAUCUAUUUAUUAUUACCAAGGAAACGUUCUGUAAACAUAAAGACAACAACAACAAAUACAACAACAACAAUCACCAUGGAAACAUGAUUAAAUAAUUAAUUAGGAUGCAGCGAGAAAUUGCACAAAGAUUUAUCGGGGCGAAAACAUAAUUUUAUUGAGUCGUUAACCAAGGAAACGUUCUGGAAAACAAGUGAAAAAUCGCCAUGGAAACAUGAUUUAUUAAUUAGGAUACAGCGAGAAAUUGCUCAAACAUUUAUCAGGGGAAAACAUAAUUUUAUUAAGUCGUUUAUAAAUGCAGAAAAAUGUAAAGUUACAUUCCAGGAAUUUUUAGAUAAAUCGAGUUGCAAAUCUGUAAUGUUUCCUUUUGAUUCAGCGAAUCUACUUAUUGUUACCAGGAAACGUUCUGUAAGCGUAAAAUUUUCUUUCAGAGAAACUAUUUAAUAUUACCAUGACAACAUUAUUGAUAUUGUAGGAUGCAAAUGCAUUUGUA